rnacentral:rRNA from 1 species
UACAGAGGGGGCGAUCGUUGUUCGGAAUUACUGGGCGUAACGGGCGCGUAGGCGGCCCGCUAAGUCGAACGUGAAAUCCCCAGGCUCAACCUGGGAACUGCGUCCGAUACUGGCAGGCUUGAAUCCGGGAGAGGGAUGUGGAAUUCCAGGUGUAGCGGUGAAAUGCGUAGAUAUCUGGAGGAACACCGGUGGCGAAGGCGGCAGCCUGGACCGGUAUGGACGCUGAGGCGCGAAAGCUAGGGGAGCAAACGGG